GACGAACGCUGGCGGCGUGCUUAACACAUGCAAGUCGAACGAAGUGGCGAACGGGUGAGUAACGCGUAAUCAACCUGCCCUUCAGAGGGGGACAACAGUUGGAAAGGACUCUUAAUCCCGAUAACUGAAGGAGGGGUUUGCGUCUGAUUAGCUAGUUGGGGGGGUAACGGCCAACCAAGGCGAUGAUCAGUAGCCGGUCUGGGAGGAUGAACGGCCACAUUGGGACUGAGACACGGCCCAGACUCCUACGGGAGGCAGCAGUGGGGAAUCUUCCGCAAUGGACGAAAGUCUGACGGAGCAACGCCGCGUGAGUGAUGACGGCCUUCGGGUUGUAAAGCUCUGUUAAUCGGGACGCGGUACCGGAAUAGAAAGCCACGGCUAACUACGUGCCAGCCGCCGCGGUAAUUC
rnacentral:rRNA from 1 species